AGUGGACGCUGGCGGCGUGCUUAACACAUGCAAGUCGAACGAGAACGGAUUAUAGCUUGCUAUAAUUGUCAGCUAAGUGGCGCACGGGUGAGUAAUGUAUAGGUAAUAUGCCUCUUACUAAGGGAUAACAAAUGGAAACGUUUGCUAAUACCUUAUACUCCUUAUUAACAUAAGUUAAUAAGGGAAAGAUUUAUUGGUAAGAGAUUAGCCUGUAUUGUAUCAGUUAGUUGGUGGGGUAAUGGCUUACCAAGACUAUGACACAUAACUGGUUUGAGAGGAUGAUCAGUCACACUGGAGCUGAGACACGGUCCAGACUCCUACGGGAGGCAGCAGUGGGGAAUAUUGCACAAUGGACGAAAGUCUGAUGCAGCAACGCCGCGUGGAGGAUGACACAUUUCGGUGCGUAAACUCCUUUUAUAUGAGAAGAUAAUGACGGUAUUAUAUGAAUAAGCACCGGCUAACUCCGUGCCAGCCGCCGCAGUAA
rnacentral:rRNA from 1 species